GACGAACGCUGGCGGCGUGCUUAACACAUGCAAGUCGAACGGAACGGCCCUGCUUUUGUGGGGUGCUCGAGUGGCGAACGGGUGAGUAACACGUGGGUAACCUGCCCUUUACUUUGGGAUAAGUUCAGGAAACUGGGGCUAAUACCGGAUAGGAGUUCCUGCUGCAUGGGGGGUUGGGGAACUUUUGGGCGGUGGGGGAUGGGCUCGCGGCUUAUCAGCUUGUUGGUGGGGUAGUGGCUUACCAAGGCGUUGACGGGUAGCCGGCCUGAGAGGGUGACCGGCCACAUUGGGACUGAGAUACGGCCCAGACUCCUACGGGAGGCAGCAGUGGGGAAUAUUGCACAAUGGGCGGAAGCCUGAUGCAGCAACGCCGCGUGCGGGAUGACGGCCUUCGGGUUGUAAACCGCUUUCGCCAGGGACGAAGCGUGAGUGACGGUACCGGGUAAAGAAGCACCGGCUAACUACGUG
rnacentral:rRNA from 1 species